rnacentral:rRNA from 1 species
UGCGUAGGUGGUUAGAUAAGUCUUAGGUGUAAGUGCAGAGCUUAACUCUGUGAUGCUAGAGAAACUGUCUGACUUGAGUGUGGUAGAGGCAAGUGGAAUUCCAUGUGUAGCGGUAAAAUGCGUAAAUAUAUGGAGGAACACCAGUGGCGAAGGCGGCUUGCUGGGCCAUAACUGACACUGAGGCACGAAAGCGUGGGGAGCAAACAGGAUUAGAUACCCUGGUAGUCC